rnacentral:lncRNA from 1 species
CAAUUUGGCUAAUAUUUUGUAAGGAUGAUCUAUGAGGUGUAACUUAAAAAAUAGACGGUUCAGAUCGUUAAAGUUCGAUAUGGUGUGGACCCCACAACUAAUCCCCACUUUUAUUAAAAAAUAAGAAUUCCUUCACUUAAAAGUUUCAUAUAUAUAUAUAACAAACAAUAUGACAAUCUACACUCAGUUCAUCUAAAUUAUGAAAAUAUGGAUUCAAACUCGAGUGUAGAGAGAAACACACUGCUAUAACCAACUUGACUAAGCUAAAAUAAAACAUUUGUAAAAAAUUGUUGUUGUAUGAAAUAUUCAGUGGUACUUAAGAAUUUGUAAGUUAACAAUUAUCUACUAUAUAUAUUUAUAAAUUCAAUAAAAUAAUUUUUUCUUAUUUCUCGCUCCAAAGAACAGGUUGCUAGCUGGGAGGAGAAUUCUCUCCCCUCUUAAUCUCUCUCCCCUUCCCUCUCCUCUUACUUGAAUGGUUACGGUUUAGUCAUGUCAACAUCUUAUAUUGAUUUUUUUUAGUUAAAGUGUAAAUAGUAGUUUAUUGUCCCACAUUGGUGAAGUACAUAUGUUGUCACGCCCCGAACCCAACAUACGUCCAAGAUCGACGCGUAACGUCACCCAACAUCUGUAUAUCUAACAGAUCCCGCCUCCGAGAUAUGUACAAGGCAUAACUCAAGAUCCAACUGCAUAAUAAUUUUUCGUAAGCUUUAUGGCUGCAUCUAACCUCCUCGUUAGACUGUCUACGUACCCUAAACAGGGAUCAAGAGAUUCGUAGUUCAUCAUUCACUACCCAUCUACAUUUACCACAGUACGUUCAAGCCGAAAGAUAUAACAUUCUUCAAUCAAUCAUUAGAACUUGACAAGUAUGGAAGUACUAGAUUCAGGGCUACAUAACAAUUCAAUAUGACAAACAACAUUUCCACUUCCUCCAUCAUAUAAAUCACUAUGAUUUCAACAAGAAACCUUAAUCCACCCCAUGUAACAUAUCCAAGAACCAACAAGGCACAAUAUUAUUCUCAAGCCACUUUGAGCAAUGAGAUUAAUCAUAAUAAUAACAAUCAUAUUCCACAUCAUUCCGCAAUCAUUCUACUUAAUCAAUCCUAAAAAUCAAAGAUGCAUGAUAUCUACAAUUACUAUGUUAUUCAAUCAAUAAGGUCCCAUAUCAAUUCACAAAUUUUAAUAAAGGAUCCCUACAUAAUUCCCCACCUGGAUUCCAAGUACUAACAUGAUAAGUCUAAUUUAUACACAAUGUCUACUGUGAACAAUUCAUAUUCACUCGACUUUAAGGUCAGACUACCUUUAUGGAAAUGAGCAAGCGUAGGGAUUCUAGACCACUGAACAGAAUCCAACCAAAAUACCAAGCGACCUCUUGUAAUCUCUUCAAACUUGACAUAUGUACAAUCAAUGCCUACACCAUGGGAAUGGUGCAUCGGCAUCAAGAAUUCAGAUAAGCUGUUAAACUCGGGUGAGUGACAAUAAUACAAGGAUGUGAUAAUAAUGAUAAAGCCAACUAUUAAUCACAAUUUACAUCUCUUGAAUAUAAAUCCUUCAUAAGGAAUCAAUACCAAACCUUUGUAACUUCGAAGGAGUCACCCAGACAUACAACGGUUCAUCUGAAACAAAUCACAACAGCUCACAAUCAUAAUCUCAUACAACACAAUGAAAAGUAGGGUUAGAGCGACACAGUUCGGCCGAAGUCUACAUCUCUAAAGCUAUCUCAAUCCAAAUUCAAUAAACCCCAAGGUGAACACAAUCCCAGACCAUCUCUCAACGAAAUCGCGAAGUAGGAGGGAUUCCGAACCUUCGUAACGGGAUCCAAAAGGGUACGAUUCCGGACCAUCACUCAACAAAAUCGCGGAGUAUAAUGCAUAAUCACCACUAAAUGAAACCCAAGUUAGAUAUGAUUCCAGAACAUCACUUAACAGAAUCGCGGAAUAGAAGGGAUUUCAGACCAUCUCUCAAUGGAAUCCGAGUAGAUACGAUUCCGGACCAUCACUCAACUGAAUCGUGGAGUAGAAGGGAUUCGGACCAUCACUCAACGGAAUCCAAACCAGGAUACGAUUCCGGACCAUAUUUCAAUGGAAUCGCGGAGUAGAAUGUGUAACAUCAAUCAAUGAAACAAGACAUGGAUCAAGUUCUUCAAGAUACAAGGACUCAACGAAACGAGAAUGAAAUAAUGACACGAGAGUUGAAACAUGUUUCAAAGUAACAAACCCCAUAACAAUAGGUUAAUGGUCCACUACUAGCCCUCGCAUUUCAUCACAUCAAUCCAAUCAUACAAUACAAACCAUAUUUCCAAUAUGCACGUCAAAUCACACCAUAAAACUACAUCAAUGGCUAAAUAUAAAAAUUAACAAUUUUAUAGGAAACAUAAUUAUAAAACCAUCUCAUAUCCACACAGGAUAGUAGUUAUGAAAAUAAGAUAAUCAUCAAUAUCACAUAUUAGUCAUUCACAUUUCUUCACAUCACACCAACAAUUGAAUUUCGGGAAACCAAGCUAGACAUAGGUUCACAGGGUCACUAGAAGGUAUUUGGUACUUAGACAACACUCGUGGACAGUCCCACGCACCACUAAACGCAAUGGUAGCCAUGGUGAAGGGUUUGAAAACCUAAAUUUUCAACCUUAACCCAAGAGGCUCAAAUUCAUGUGGUAACUAGAGCUCAACAAGGGAGACAUUAUUCACAACUAGACCAACGACAAAUUCUAACCGGAAUCAUCCAAAUUCUUCGGGGAAACCCGGUUUCUAGGGUUCUAAACACCCAACUCUAAAACGAAUACGAAAGCACGAACCAAGCAUCCAACUUGAAGAUUAUGAAGAGUAGAUGAAGUUUCAUACCUCACUUGAGGGAAAUGGUUGCCUCGAACUGGAAAAAUGACAAAACCGCUGGAAAACCCACAGGAAUUUGCUGCCUCGAACUGGAAAAAUGGAUAAGAAAAUGGAAAAUAUAACAUUACAGAGUUGUAGGGCUCAUCAAGAGCUUUCCAUGGACACCAAGAUCACCCAAAACGGAGAUCGGAU